GACAGAGGGGGCAAGCGUUGCUCGGAAUUACUGGGCGUAAAGGGCGCGUAGGCGGGAUGGCAAGUCGGUCGUGAAAUCCCUCGGCUCAACUGAGGAUCGUCGAUCGAUACUGCCGUUCUUGAGGAUUGCAGAGGAGACUGGAAUUCCUGGUGUAGCAGUGAAAUGCGUAGAUAUCAGGAGGAACACCGGUGGCGAAGGCGGCUUCCUGGACAAAAACUGACGCUGAGGCGCGAAAGCUAGGGGAGCAAACAGG
rnacentral:rRNA from 1 species